rnacentral:rRNA from 1 species
UACAGAGACUGCAAGCGUUAUUCGGAUUCACUGGGCGUAAAGGGUGCGCAGGCGGUUGGGUGUGUCAGAUGUGAAAUCCCGAGGCUCAACCUCGGAACUGCGUCUGAAACUACUCGACUAGAGUACUGGAGAGGGUAACGGAAUUCACGGUGUAGCAGUGAAAUGCGUAGAUAUCGGGAGGAACACCAGUGGCGAAGGCGGCAUCCUGGCCAUGUCCUGACGCUCAGGGGCGAAAGCGUGGGGAGCAAACCGG